UGACGACGCAACGCCGCGUGGAGGAUGAAGAUCUUCGGGUCGUAAACUCCUUUCGAUCGAGACGAAUUCCUCUGGGGUGAAUAAUCCCGGAGGUUGACGGUACCGAGAGAAGAAGCCCCGGCUAACUCCGUGCCAGCAGCCGCGGUAAUACGGGGGGGGCAAGCGUUGUUCGGAAUUACUGGGCGUAAAGGGCUCGUAGGUGGCCAACUAAGUCAGACGUGAAAUCCCUCGGCUUAACCGGGGAACUGCGUCUGAUACUGGUUGGCUUGAAUCCGGGAGAGGGAUGCGGAAUUCCAGGUGUAGCGGUGAAAUGCGUAGAUAUCUGGAGGAACACCGGUGGCGAAGGCGGCAUCCUGGACCGGCAUUGACGCUGAGGAGCGAAAGCCAGGGGAGCAAACGGGAUUAGAUACCCCGGUAGUCCUGGCCCUAAACGAUGAAUGCUUGGUGUGGCGGGUAUCGAUCCCUGCCGUGCCGAAGCUAACGCAUUAAGCAUUCCGCCUGGGGAGUACGGUCGCAAGGCUG
rnacentral:rRNA from 1 species